UCAAGCGGAUAAGGGCGCACGGUGGAUGCCUGGGCGCCAGGUGCCGAGGAAGGACGCGGCCAGCGGCGAAACGCCCCGGGGAGCCGCAAGCAGGCAGGGAUCCGGGGAUGUCCGAAUGGGGGAACCCGGCCGGGGGGAACCCCGGUCACCGGCCGGUGAAUGCAUAGCCGGCCGGGGGGCACCCGCCGAACUGAAACAUCUCAGUAGGCGGAGGAGGAGAAAUCAAGCGAGAUUCCCUCAGUAGCGGCGAGCGAACGGGGAAGAGCCCAAACCGUGCCUGUGGGAAAGCCUGCCGGCGUUGCAGGCACGGGGUAGCGGGACCGUCAGGGUGGGCGGCAGACCACCGGCGGAGUGAGAAACCGCCGCUCUAGCCGAAGCGGCCUGGAACGGCCUGCCGCAGACGGUAAGAGCCCGGUAGGCGAAAGGGCGGCGGCUCCGGACGGGAUCCCAAGUAGCACGGGGCACGUGGAAUCCCGUGUGAAUCCGGGGGGACCACCCUCCAAGGCUAAAGACGCCUGGCGACCGAUAGCGGACGAGUACCGUGAGGGAAAGGUGAAAAGCACCGCGGGAGCGGAGUGAAAGAGAACCUGAAACCGUGUGCCUACAAGCAGUCCGAGCCCCGAUGGGGUGAGGGCGUGCCUCUUGAAGAAUGAACCGGCGAGUUGCGAUCACGGGCGAGGCGAAGCACCUCAGGUGCGGAGCCGGAGGGAAACCGAGUCUGAAAGGGCGCAAGUCCGUGGGCGCAGACCCGAAACCGGGUGAUCUACCCAUGGCCAGGGUGAAGCGGGGGUAAGACCCCGUGGAGGCCCGAACCAGGUUGGCGUUGAAAAGCCAUCGGAUGAGCUGUGGGUAGGGGUGAAAUGCCAAUCGAACCCGGAGAUAGCUGGUUCUCCCCGAAAUCGCUUUUGGGCGAGCCUCGGGAGGUAGCCGGCGGAGGUAGAGCGACGGAUUGGGGGAGGGGCCGUACAGGUUACCGAACCCACUCCAACUCCGAAUGCCGCCGGCCGGACCCCGGGAGUCAGACUCCGGGUGCGAAGAUCCGGGGUCAAGAGGGGAACAACCCAGACCGCCAGCCAAGGUCCCGAAGUCCGUGCUGAGUGGGGAAGGAUGUGGCGCUGCGAAGACAACCAGGAUGUUGGCUUAGAAGCAGCCAUCAUUCGAAGAGUGCGUAAUAGCUCACUGGUCGAGUGGCGCUGCGCCGAAAAUUCACGGGGCUAAGCACGGCACCGAAGCUGCGGAUCGGAGCGAGGCUCCGAUGGUAGGGGAGCGUUCCGUACCCGGCGAAGGUUCGCCGGAAGGCGGGCUGGAGGGGACGGAAGUGAGAAUGCCGGUAUGAGUAGCGAAAACGGCGGUGAGAAUCCGCCGCACCGAAAGCCUCAGGGUUCCUGAGGAAGGCUCGUCCGCUCAGGGUAAGUCGGGGCCUAAGCCGAGGCCGAAGGGCGUAGGCGAUGGGGAACCGGUGGAGAUUCCGGUACCACCACCGGCCGAUUGAGCGAGGCGGGGACGCAGGGGGGCAGGCAUGGCCGGCCGCUGGUCGAGCCGGUGCAAGCCGGUAGCGUGCCCGGGGAGGGAAGUCCCCCCGGGUAGACGUGAGAGGCGACGCCGAGGGAAUGGAGUACCGAAGCAGCCGGGCCCGCACUGCCAAGAAAAGCCGCUAGCGAGGCACGGGGUGCCCGUACCGCAAACCGACACAGGUAGGCGGGGAGAGAAUCCUCAGGUGCGCGGGAGAACCCUCGCUAAGGAACUCGGCAAACUGCCCCCGUAACUUCGGGAGAAGGGGGGCCCUCGGGGGUGAGGGGUCCGAGCGGCCCGGAGCCCCUGGGGGUCGCAGGGAAACGGCCCAAGCGACUGUUUACCAAAAACACAGGUCUCUGCGAAGCCGGAAGGCGAAGUAUAGGGGCUGACGCCUGCCCGGUGCUGGAAGGUUAAGGGGAAGGGUGAGCCGGAAGGCGAAGCUCUGAACCGAAGCCCCAGUAAACGGCGGCCGUAACUAUAACGGUCCUAAGGUAGCGAAAUUCCUUGUCGGGUAAGUUCCGACCCGCACGAAUGGCGUAACGACUUGGGCGCUGUCUCGGCGAGGGACCCGGUGAAAUUGAGCGACCUGUGUAGACGCAGGUUACCCGUGGUUGGACAGAAAGACCCCGUGGAGCUUCACUGCAGCCUGGUGUUGGGCGCUGGUGGUGCGUGUACAGGAUAGGUGGGAGCCGGAGAAGCAGGGGCGCCAGCCCCUGUGGAGGCGCCGUUGGGAUACCACCCUCGGACCCCCGGCGCUCUAACCCUGGCCCGUGAGCCGGGUGGGGGACCGUGCCAGGCGGGCAGUUUGACUGGGGCGGUCGCCUCCUAAAGGGUAACGGAGGCGCCCAAAGGUCCGCUCAGGAUGGUUGGAAAUCAUCCGGGGAGUGCAAAGGCAGAAGCGGGCUUGACUGCGAGACGGACAGGUCGAGCAGGUGGGAAACCAGGGCUUAGUGAUCCGGCGGUACCGAGUGGAAGGGCCGUCGCUCAACGGAUAAAAGCUACCCCGGGGAUAACAGGCUGAUCUCCCCCAAGAGUCCACAUCGACGGGGAGGUUUGGCACCUCGAUGUCGGCUCAUCGCAUCCUCGGGCUGAAGUCGGUCCGAAGGGUUGGGCUGUUCGCCCAUUAAAGCGGUACGUGAGCUGGGUUCAGAACGUCGUGAGACAGUUCGGUCCCUAUCCACCACGGGCGUUGGAGACUUGACGGGAGCUGCCCCCAGUACGAGAGGACCGGGGUGGACGCACCGCUGGUGUACCAGUUGUCCCGCCAGGGGCAAACGCUGGGUAGCCAUGUGCGGAACGGAUCAGCGCUGAAAGCAUCUAAGUGCGAAGCCGGCCCGGAGAUGAGGUCUCCCAUCCCGCAAGGGAGUAAGACCCCUGGGAGAUGACCAGGUCGAUCGGCCGGGCGUGUACGCGCCGCAAGGCGUUGAGCGGACCGGUACGAAUCGGUCGAGGGCUUGAC
rnacentral:rRNA from 1 species